rnacentral:rRNA from 1 species
UACAUCGGUGACAGGUGGUGCAUGGUUGUCGUCAGCUCGUGUCGUGAGAUGUUGGGUUAAGUCCCGCAACGAGCGCAACCCCUAUUGUUAGUUGCCAUCAUUCAGUUGGGCACUCUAGCGAGACUGCCGGUAAUAAACCGGAGGAAGGUGGGGAUGACGUCAAAUCAUCAUGCCCCUUAUGACCUGGGCUACACACGUGCUACAAUGGUUGGUACAACGAGUUGCGAGUCGGUGACGGCGAGCUAAUCUCUUAAAGCCAAUCUCAGUUCGGAUUGUAGGCUGCAACUCGCCUACAUGAAGUCGGAAUCGCUAGUAAUCGCGGAUCAGCACGCCGCGGUGAAUACGUUCCCGGGCCUU